UAAUACGUAGAUGGCGAGCGUUAUUCGGAUUUACUGGGCGUAAAGGGUCCGCAGGGGGCCUGUCAAGCCCGCCGUGAAACCCCGGGGCUCAACCCCGGGACUGCGGUGGGGACUGCCGGGCUAGAGUGUGUGAUGGGCAGACGGAACACCUGGUGUAGCGGUGGAAUGCGUAGAUAUCAGGUGGAACACCGAUGGCGAAGGCGGUCUGCUGGCACAUCACUGACCCUCAGGGACGAAAGCGUGGGUAGCGAACAGG
rnacentral:rRNA from 1 species